ensembl:lncRNA
CAAGCUAUCAGCAGCCGAGCUCCUCCUUUUUAAGAACCUCUGCUGACCUUGAGGCACAAGCUCACAGGUGGACGAAAUCUACCUCCUACAGCUCCGUUCUGUCGAUUAGGAGGGUGAAAAUGAUUAAGAAGGAGCCCAUGUUUGUGCCGCUGGUGAGAGAUGGAUGGGUCAGAUUACUCCACCCCACCCACUGCAUCAGCAUAUGUCCUUGCCAUUGCUGUCCCCCAUUUCUGCCUGCCCUGUCUGCUUCCUGCUGGAAACCCGUCUGCAGAGCAGAAGGGCUGAGAUAACAACCAGCUGUGAGCGAGGCUGUCUGUGCUCAGCUCUUGGUGGUCCGGUGCGUCAGGAGAGGACUGGCUUGCUGGGAGGAUGGGGAAAGCAUCGUGAGUGGGGGGGGGGAACCACCUGGCCACGUUGGCUCUUGCUUUGGACCGAGGAAGGAUUGGUGAAUUGCAGUUUUUUAACAUGUGCUGAGCUGUACAUAAAUGCCUAGGGCAGGAGCUUUUUUUUUCCCUCUAAAACAUUAAUUGAUUAACUUUCCCCUGUUCUUCCACCAAUGUUUUUCUAAGAGCAUUUUUAGUGUUAUUGAUUUUUUUUUUUUUCCCCUGUAUAUUUUCAAAGAAGUAGAGAGAAAAUGAGAGCAAUUACUCUAUUUUCUGGAAGAAAUAGGCAAAACAGGAAAAUCAAUGCCUUCUAAACUUUCCUGGACAAGGGUGAAAUUCUCGUGCUAUUGAAAUCCAAGCUCCCAGCCCUUCUGCAGAGUCAGAAUGCCACUCCAAACCCCCUGCAGUGAACCUGCACUCUGUGCUGUGGGGACCAGCAUUCAG